UCCCAAGGAUUGGAGUUCGUUGGGAUCCCGAGCGGAAGCAAACGGAGCUCCUUCAGAUAACUGCCUUUGAAGGCGGGCAACCUCGUCGGUCGCCAUCCUAAGCUUCCCCCUGUAGUCGUCCACCUGCUUGCACCAGCCGGCCCGAUCGCGUUAUAGUUCGCCUUGACCUCCUGGAGCUGUUGCUGAAGGUCGGAGACCUUCUUCGACCAUUCUCGAUCGUAGUCGGUCC
rnacentral:lncRNA from 1 species